rnacentral:rRNA from 1 species
CGCGGCCUAUCAGCUUGUUGGUGAGGUAACGGCUCACCAAGGCCAUUACGGGUAGCUGGUCUGAGAGGACGAUCAGCCACACUGGAACUGAGAUACGGUCCAGACUCCUACGGGAGGCAGCAGGAGGGAAUCUUGCGCAAUGGGCGAAAGCCUGACGCAGCGACGCCGCGUGGGGGAUGAAUACCUUAGGGUUGUAAACCCCUUUCACGAGGGAAGAAACUGACGGUACCUCGAGAAGAAGCCCCGGCCAACUACGUGCCAGCAGCCGCGGUAAUACGUAGGGGGCGAGCGUUGUCCGGAUUUAUUGGGCGUAAAGGGCUCGUAGGCGGCUCGGCAAGUCGGCCGUGAAAACCCAGGGCUCAACUCUGGGACGCCGGUCGAUACUGCCAUGGCUAGGGUCCGGUAGAGGGGAAUGGAAUUCCCGGUGUAGCGGUGAAAUGCGCAGAUAUCGGGAGGAACACCAGUAGCGAAGGCGGUUCCCUGGGCCGGCACCGACGCUGAGGAGCGAAAGCGUGGGGAGCAAACAGGAUUAGAUACCCUGGUAGUCCACGCCGUAAACGUUGGGUACUAGGCGUGGCGUCUUAUCAACGGACGCCGUGCUCGAAGCUAACGCGUUAAGUACCCCGCCUGGGGAGUACGG